AGCGGGCGGCCCCGGGGAGCGCGGGGAAGGGGAGGGAGCAGGGGGCUGAAGCGCCCCUCGCCCCGCUGGCGUCGCGCGCGCCUUCCUGAGGGGCAGGGGAGGGAGGAGGGAAACAGCCCCUGCCCGGCGGCGGCGGCCGAGCUCGGCAGGAGGAACAGAGUCAGCCAGAAACCCUGACAAGACAGACAGGAGCGUCCAUGCUCCUGGUCCAAAUAACCAAACGGGGAGGAGAGCUGCGAACACUGAAGCACCCCAGAUCUCCAGGCAUCUCCAAGACUCCGGAAAGGGCCUUUUUCUGAGGGAGCUGAAGGUCCGUGCCGAGUGCGGCUCCGGAGGCUUGUAGCGGUGGGUCAGGGAGCAGCUCUGCCUUGCCCCGCGCCACGGAGCAGGGCGCGAUGCACGUGCGAAGUCCUCCAGCACGACGCCUGCGCUGGGGAAACCUUCAGUCUGCGGUGUGCAGGGCGCGCCCCGACCUUCCCGUGAACAGGGCUUGAGGCUUGGCAGAGGGGAGAGAAAAAAGUCUAAAUAUCCUUUCUUUUCUGCCCUUUCGUCUUGUGGCUGCAGCUCAGCUGAGGAGGAAACAGUUAUUGUCAAUAAAGUCUCAGUUACAACUGC